rfam:Hyaloperonospora arabidopsidis Emoy2 Contig127.1, whole genome shotgun sequence.
UUCCGCAGAGUUAAUUUCAAAACGUAUUAAUCUUUCGCCUUUUACUAAAGAUUACCGUGGAAUUGACUCACAAACAUGCGGCUUCACUCAAUUUGUGUACCCUCCUUGUGAGGGAAA